GGAGAGGUGGCAGAGCGGCCGAAUGCGGCAGAUUGCUAAUCUGUUGUCGGGGAAUUGCCCCCGACCGAGGGUUCAAAUCCCUCCCUCUCCGCCA
rnacentral:tRNA from 1 species